rnacentral:ncRNA from 1 species
AAUGAAAAUACAAAUCUUACUCAUAUAAUCCUGUUAAUAUGGGCGGGAGUUUCUACCGGGGGCCGUAAACCUUCGACUAUGAGUAAGGCUGCUUUGCAU